GGCCGCCUGGCGAAAUGGCAUCGCGUCUGACUACGAACCUCUUCUUUCAUCGGUACGGGUAAUCAGGAGAUUGCAGGUUCGACCCCUGCGGUGGUCA